rnacentral:rRNA from 1 species
CCCUUAGAUGUUCUGGGCUGCACGCGCGCUACACUGUCGGAUUCAGCGAGUCAUAUCCUUAACCGAAAGGUUUGGGUAAUCUUUUGAAAGUCCGACGUGAUGGGGAUUGAUCAUUGCAAUUAUUGAUCAUGAACGAGGAAUUCCUAGUAAGCACGAGUCAUCAGCUCGCGUUGAUUACGUCCCUGCCCUUUGUACACACCGCCCGUCGCUACUACCGAUUGAAUGGUUUAGUGAGAUCUUCGGAUUGGCGCCUACGCGGCUUCUCUGAGGCCACGCUGGAUGCCGAAAAGUUGCUCAAACUGUAUCAUUUAGAGGAAGUAAAAGUCGUAACA